GACGAACGCUGGCGGCGUGCUUAACACAUGCAAGUCGAACGGUGAAGCGCCUUCCUUUUUGGUGGGUGUGGAUGAGUGGCGAACGGGUGAGUAACACGUGAGUAACCUGCCCCCUUCUUCUGGAUAACCGCAUGAAAGUGUGGCUAAUACGGGAUAUUCUGGGUCUGUCGCAUGAUGGGUCUGGGAAAGAUAUUGUUUCGGUGGGGGAUGGGCUCGCGGCCUAUCAGCUUGUUGGUGGGGUGAUGGCCUAUCAAGGCGGUGACGGGUAGCCGGCCUGAGAGGGUGCACGAUCUGACUAGGAAUGAGACACAGCCACGCUGGCUACGAGAGACAGCACUGAGGCAUACUGGAAGAUGGGGUGAGGGCUAAUGCAGAGACGCCGCGUGAGUGAUGGAGCCCUGCGGGGUGUGAACUGAUUGCGCUAGGGAUGGAAACCUGCCUCGUUUGUGAGUGGGUUGACGGUACCUGGAUAAUAAGCGCCGGCUAACUACGUG
rnacentral:rRNA from 1 species